UACGAAGGGUGCAAACGUUGCUCGGAAUUAUUGGGCGUAAAGCGCACGUAGGCGGCAUCGCAAGUCGGAUGUGAAAUCUUAUGGCUUAACCAUAAAAGUGCAUCCGAAACUGCAGUGCUUGAGUACUUAAGAGGAUCGCGGAAUUCCCGGUGUAGAGGUGAAAUUCGUAGAUAUCGGGAGGAACACCAGUGGCGAAGGCGGCGAUCUGGGAAGAUACUGACGCUGAGGCGCGAAAGCCAGGGGAGCAAACGGG
rnacentral:rRNA from 1 species